rnacentral:rRNA from 1 species
UACGUAGGGUGCGAGCGUUGUCCGGAUUUAUUGGGCGUAAAGAGCGUGUAGGCGGCUAGGUAGGUCCGUUGUGAAAACUCGAGGCUCAACCUCGAGACGUCGAUGGAAACCAUCUGGCUAGAGUCCGGAAGAGGAGAGUGGAAUUCCUGGUGUAGCGGUGAAAUGCGCAGAUAUCAGGAAGAACACCCGUGGCGAAGGCGGCUCUCUGGUACGUGACUGACGCUGAGACGCGAAAGCGUGGGGAGCGAACAGG